CUUUACUCCCAGUUUAGAUGAAAAAAAAUAAAAAUACAGGCCCAUCCGUCUUACUGACAAAAGGUAAGCAUCGUUUUUAUUGCAUAACUGAAACGUGUAUAAAUAUUUCCUGAUACUCAAAGUGAAAGUUGCAUUUUCAUAUUAUAGUCUGCGCCUAUAUAUAUAUAUUUUUUUUGCAUAGUAACCGUAGUCAUGUGAAACAAUGAUUUAUUUCUCAUAUUAUUAACGUGGUAAUAUCAAUGUUACUGUUUUCUAAAGCAAUGGUGUAGGUAAUGGUAAAGUAACAGUAAUUACUAAUGUCGUAGUUGUAAUUAAAUUAAGUUCAUUCCCCAAAAGAUUUAGCAUCUACAAAAAUUCAAUCUCAAUUCCAUAGUUGCUAAGUUGUACCUAUAGAAAAACCAUGAUAAAUUUCUAACAAUGACCUGAAGGGGUCACAUGGCUGAAAACAAAAAUCAGAGCACACACAGACAGGAUCAGUAACACAUUUACUCAUUAAAGUAGACAUCAAUAGAUGAGGGUUGUAUACAACCCCUUUUAUUGUUGGAUGUGCAGUGUUUAAGCCUUCAGUCAACAAAAGUGAAUUUGAGAAUGUGUCUACCACAAAUGCAAGAAAGUGAAAUCCAAGGUAGGAUCCUCAGGUACGACACACAAAGUGCUCUCUGAUGUCUUCAUUACCUGUAAAACUGAACCUGUCUUCCACUGUGCUUGUAGUUAAGGCCACUGAUGAUCAGCUUGGACCCAUCUACCUAUAACCCCACCCUGAACACCCACCACACUCACUGCAUUCUCACAAAUCAUAAUCUGUUCCUUUCUCUUCAAAACGUACUAAUUUAAGGGAAAUUUGCCUAUUAUAAAAUAA